GGGACGGGCACGGUGCUCUCCCCCGAGAUCCGAGGGCAGCAGGGAGCGGGGAGGCUGAUCCCGGACCUGGAGCAGCCCGGCGGGCUCCUACCAGCAAACUGCAGGUCACCGAGGUGUCCUGGCUCCAUCAGGAUUGCAGUGGCACUCAGCCCCGCCUGUGGCCCUUCCCACCGACUGCCACGAAGGCAGAGAUCAGCUUACCGAGGUCCAUCCGACGAGGCAUCGUUCCCAGCAAGUGCACCGCACCACACCGAGACUGAAGCAAGCAGGUGGACGUAAGGUAGCAAAACCAGAUGCCAUCAUCAGCCUGAGGUACCUCAAAGUCUUAAUGAACGAGAAAG